GUAGAUAGUUAAGUUGGUAAAGCAUGAGAUUCCUAAUCUUGGGGUUGUGGGUUUGAGCCCCACGUUGGGCA